rnacentral:rRNA from 1 species
UACGUAGGGGGCAAGCGUUGUCCGGAAUCAUUGGGCGUAAAGCGCGCGUAGGCGGCCCGGUAAGUCCGCUGUAAAAGUCCAGGGCUCAACCCUGGAAAGCCGGUGGAUACUGUCGGGCUAGAGUCCGGAAGAGGCGAGUGGAAUUCCUGGUGUAGCGGUGGAAUGCGUAGAUAUCUGGAGGAACACCUGUGGCGAAGGCGGCGUCCUGGACCAAUACUGACACUGAAACGCGAAAGCCAGGGGAGCAAACGGG